UAAUAAACAAAUAACAUAUUAAAAAGAGAGAGGGCCGAUCUUUUCGGACAGAGCAUUAAAUGCUGCGUUAAUGGUUUGCAGAGAAAUCAUAUCCUCUGACACAUAUGGAUAACAUCCCUCUGACAAAGAAUAUUUUAAUGAUACAUGUCCCACUUGCCAUCUUUUUCUGUAUAUGUACAAAUCAUUUUUUUUCAGUCACACACAUCACCAUUAGACAUCCUAAAUUCUCUAUACACACUAACACCACAUCGGAUAGAGGAGUCCGAGUAGAGAGAUUUGCACACAAGUCAUGCACUACAAUCUUAACAAUACUUUAUUUCCACAUCAAAAGGCUAUCUCCGCGAGUUAAGGGCGGAGUCAGGAAAAUUCAAGUUAAAGAAACUAAACGAUCAAGGUGAGCUUUCUUAUACUAAAAUACAAAUCGGAUUGCUUGAAAACAAGAACACAUGUUUGUGAUUUUAAUGAUGUUGUCAUGCCAUAAAUGUUUUGUGUAUGAUGCCUAUCUGUUGGCUACGGCCAAGUGAAUUAUGAAUGAUGAUAUAAGUC